GACGAACGCUGGCGGCGUGCUUAACACAUGCAAGUCGAACGGGAUCCGGGCUUUCGGGUUUGGUGAGAGUGGCGAACGGGUGAGUAACACGUGAGUAACCUGCCCCCUUCUUUGGGAUAACGUCGGGAAAUCGGCGCUAAUACUGGAUAUUCUUGCUGCAUCGCAUGGUGUGGUUUGGAAAGGGUUUCUGGUGGGGGAUGGGCUCGCGGCCUGUCAGCUUGUUGGUGGGGUGAUGGCCUACCAAGGCUUUGACGGGUAGCCGGCCUGAGAGGGUGUCCGGCCACACUGGGACUGAGACACGGCCCAGACUCCUACGGGAGGCAGCAGUGGGGAAUAUUGCACAAUGGGCGCAAGCCUGAUGCAGCGACGCCGCGUGAGGGAUGACGGCCUUCGGGUUGUAAACCUCUUUCAGUAUGGAACAAGGAUCCUUCUUUUGGGGGGUUUGAGGGUACGUGCAGAAGAAGCGCCGGCUAACUACGUG
rnacentral:rRNA from 1 species